GCUGCCCCUGGAGGCUUUGCUCUUGUGGCUGCUGUGUCACAAGUGUAUCAGGAGGUGGGAGAGAGGAGAGAAACUAUGCCUAUACUCAGUGUUCUGACCUGUAAAUAUCUGAAUGAUUAGUACCUAACACC
ensembl:snoRNA Gm25832 small nucleolar RNA SNORA17